rnacentral:rRNA from 1 species
UUUUGCCGGGGAAUUUCACUAGUGAUUGUAGCUGGUCUGAGAGGAUGAUCAGCCACACCGGGACUGAGACACGGCCCGGACUCCUACGGGAGGCAGCAGUGGGGAAUAUUGGACAAUGGGGGCAACCCUGAUCCAGCCAUGCCGCGUGUGUGAAGAAGGCCUUUUGGUUGUAAAGCACUUUAAGCAGUGAAGAAGACUCCGUGGUUAAUACCCACGGACGAUGACAUUAGCUGCAGAAUAAGCACCGGCUAACUCUGUGCCAGCAGCCGCGGUAAUACAGAGGGUGCAAGCGUUAAUCGGAAUUACUGGGCGUAAAGCGAGCGUAGGUGGCUUGAUAAGUCAGAUGUGAAAUCCCCGGGCUUAACCUGGGAACUGCAUCUGAUACUGUUAGGCUAGAAUAGGUGAGAGGAAGGUAGAAUUCCAGGUGUAGCGGUGAAAUGCGUAGAGAUCUGGAGGAAUACCGAUGGCGAAGGCAGCCUUCUGGCAUCAUAUUGACACUGAGGUUCGAAAGCGUGGGUAGCAAACAGGAUUAGAUACCCUGGUAGUCCACGCCGUAAACGAUGUCUACUAGUCGUUGGGUCCCUUGAGGACUUAGUGACGCAGCUAACGCAAUAAGUAGACCGCCUGGGGAGUACGGCCGCAAGGUUAAAACUCAAAUGAAUUGACGGGGGCCCGCACAAGCGGUGGAGCAUGUGGUUUAAUUCGAUGCAACGCGAAGAACCUUACCUGGUCUUGACAUAUCUAGAAUCCUGCAGAGAUGCGGGAGUGCCUUCGGGAAUUAGAAUACAGGUGCUGCAUGGCUGUCGUCAGCUCGUGUCGUGAGAUGUUGGGUUAAGUCCCGCAACGAGCGCAACCCUUGUCCUUAGUUACCAGCGGGUUAAGCCGGGAACUCUAAGGAUACUGCCAGUGACAAACUGGAGGAAGGCGGGGACGACGUCAAGUCAUCAUGGCCCUUACGACCAGGGCUACACACGUGCUACAAUGGUAGGUACAGAGGGCAGCUACACAGCGAUGUGAUGCGAAUCUCUUAAAGCCUAUCGUAGUCCAGAUUGGAGUCUGCAACUCGACUCCAUGAAGUAGGAAUCGCUAGUAAUCGCGGAUCAGAAUGCCGCGGUGAAUACGUUCCCGGGCCUUGUACACACCGCCCGUCACACCAUGGGAGUUGAUUGCACCAGAAGUGGAUAGCUUAACCUUUUAGGAAAGCGUUCACC